rnacentral:lncRNA from 1 species
GGAAACUCUGACCUCUUCGACCAGAAUGCAGUCAUUAUAAAAUACACAACUGAAUGACAGUGAUCCACCUCUAAUGACCUAUCUGAUCAAACAGAAAGUGAACUAAUACAGAAGCUGAGAGAGAUAAUAUAAGAACUCUCAACACAAAUGUUAUUCCUCUGAAACAAGUGACAUGAAAGAGAAUCAGAAUAAUCAAAGAGGCCACCUCCAAAAAGAAAAGGCAACAGAAAGCUCCAUCCAUGGCAAAGAUUAGAUUCUUCAUUCUGCAGCAGUCAAAUUCAAUGAAAACCAUAAAUGGGAAUUUUCUCAGCCUUCACAUCAUCAUCUGCAACUUCCCAUUUAACGCUAAGCAAAAACCAAAUUGGUUGCCUGCCUUCCUGCAAAAUCCACAUCACAGUUAGUAGCAGAGAAAGAAAAGGAAUAUCCUUCCACUUUGCUACGUUUUCCCAGAUGCUGCCAUACAUUACAUUAGUCCUUUCCCCUCUAGGGAGAUGGAUACUUCUGUUUCCAGUAAAAAUAACACAGUUAGUUCCUCUCCAUCACUUACAUCGUCGGGGCAAUUCGAACUAGCCAAGAUACACAGUUUGGUACAAGGAAAUGCGGCACCAGAUUCUCUUACAGGCCUAACAAACUGUAGGAAUUUUUAACCAAGUUCUUUUCUUUCAGCAGCAAAAGGGGAAAAUGUACAGCAAAAGCAAAUACAAACGUCAGCCUGAUUAACCCAGAAAGCUUUCACUUUAGCGAAAGAUGGCUACUUUAUGAGUUCAAGCAGACAAGCAACUACUUUUUUCUUCUGGCCACCAAAUCAAAAGAGUACAUCAUCAUCAGACCCCAUUUCUUGACCAACCUUUGAUUAAAUCUACAUACUUGCAUAUCAGAAAAUCAACAACACUUGAAAACCAGCUAUAUGCAUACAGAUCUAACACAGUGUAGCUAGCCAUCAAAGUUCCAGUUGUUAAGUUAGGGGAAAUGAAGAAUUUUUCAAUGGAAUCAACCAGAUCAACAUAUAAGCAACAAGAUUAGCAGCAGAGAUUCGAUUAUCCAAACAAAAGUAAUAAACUUUCCAAAAUCACAGAAGCUACAGAUCCAUGAGAAGGUAGGAAGGGAGAAACUAGGGGGGUUGCUGGAUGCAGAGGUUUAUCGAUCGAUUCACGUGUUUUUGUGAUCGGAUGAACCCACAUAAACCAUGAAGAGAUCGAUGAACCGCUGCCUCCAAACUCCGUGUGUUCCCUCCCUCUUCACAACCCUUCAGACACACGCAAAAAAAUCAACGAUCAGAUCUGAAAAUAGUAAUCGGAGAAAGAACUUAGAAUCGAGAUCCGAAAUCUGAUACUUCCCUUCAAUAGCCGCCAUGGCAGUGGGGUUUAAUCAGCCUGUGUGUUCAUAAUCUACGUUUUCUCUGCAUCUGCAACUGAUGAUAUGGGUUUUGAGAUUGAGAAAGAGAGAGAUAGGGUAUGAACUAUGAAGUAUGGUGGUUGGUGAUAGAUAAUGGAGGGUUUCGGCGGCCUUGAUGGGAGAGCUCUCUGCUCUGCUCAGCUCAGCUCAGCUGAUAGUGAAAGAUUCCGAAUCUUUCGGUAUUCGAUAUUUUUUUGUAUUGUUU